GCGGAGGUGGUUCAGUGGUACAAUUCUCACCUUCCAUGCCGGAGACACUGGGUUCGAUUCCCAGCCAGUGCA
rnacentral:tRNA from 1 species